rnacentral:rRNA from 1 species
GACGAACGCUGGCGGCGUGCUUAACACAUGCAAGUCGAACGAAGUGGCGAACGGGUGAGUAACGCGUAAUCAACCUGCCCUUCAGAGGGGGACAACAGUUGGAAACGACUGCUAAUACCGCAUACUGAAGGAGGGGAUUGCGGCGGAUUAGCUAGUUGAAGGGGUAACGGCCCACCAAGGCGAGGAUCCGUUGCCGGUCUGAGAGGAUGAACGGCCACAUUGGGACUGAGACACGGCCCAGACUCCUACGGGAGGCAGCAGUGGGGAUGCUUCCGAAAUGGACGAAAGUCUGACGGAGCAACGUCGCGUUAGUGAUGACGGCCUUCGGGUUGUAAAGCUCUGUUAAUCGGGACGCGGUACCGGAAUAGAAAGCCCCGGCUAACUACGUGCCAGCAGCCGCGGUAAUAC